GACAGAGGGUGCAAACGUUGUUCGGAAUUACUGGGCGUAAAGCGUGUGUAGGCGGUCCACUAAGUCGGAUGUGAAAGCCCUGGGCUCAACCCAGGAAGUGCACUCGAAACUGGCGGGCUAGAGUAUCGGAGAGGUUGGUGGAAUUCUCGGUGUAGAGGUGAAAUUCGUAGAUAUCGAGAGGAACACCGGUGGCGAAGGCGGCCAACUGGACGAAUACUGACGCUGAGACACGAAAGCGCGGGGAGCAAACAGG
rnacentral:rRNA from 1 species